rnacentral:rRNA from 1 species
GACGAACGCUGGCGGCGUGCUUAACACAUGCAAGUCGAACGGAAAGGCCCUGCUUUUGUGGGGUGCUCGAGUGGCGAACGGGUGAGUAACACGUGAGUAACCUGCCCUUGACUUUGGGAUAACUUCAGGAAACUGGGGCUAAUACCGGAUAGGAGCUCCUGCUGCAUGGUGGGGGUUGGAAAGUUUCGGCGGUUGGGGAUGGACUCGCGGCUUAUCAGCUUGUUGGUGGGGUAGUGGCUUACCAAGGCUUUGACGGGUAGCCGGCCUGAGAAGGUGACCGGCCACGUGGACGCGGCGCCGCGCGCUGGGGCCGGGCGGUGGCAAUCAGGGGGAAGUAUGGAGCAGUGGGCGGAGUCGGUCGGCAGCAGCGCGGUGUGCUGGCUUGCGGCCUGCGGGUUGUUGACCGUGCUCCCUUGUGACGAAGCGGGGGUGACGUUAGGGGGAAAAGAAGCACGGGCUACCUGCGUUCCGGCCGCCGCGGUACGAACCGGCGAGCACACUUCUGCCC